UACGAAGGGUGCAAGCGUUAUUCGGAAUUACUGGGCGUAAAGGGUGCGUAGGCGGUUCGUUAAGUCUGUCGUGAAAUCCCCGGGCUCAACCUGGGAAUGGCGAUGGAUACUGGCGAGCUAGAGUGUGUCAGAGGAUGGUGGAAUUCCCGGUGUAGCGGUGAAAUGCGUAGAGAUCGGGAGGAACAUCAGUGGCGAAGGCGGCCAUCUGGGACAACACUGGCGCUGAAGCACGAAAGCGUGGGGAGCAAACAGG
rnacentral:rRNA from 1 species